CCUGAUGCAGCAACGCCGCUUGAGGGAUGACGGCCUUCCGGGUUGUAAACCUCUUUUUAGCAGGGAAGAAGCGAGAGUGACGGUACCUGCAGAAAAAGCGCCGGCUAACUACGUGCCAGCAGCCGCGGUAAUACGUAGGGCGCAAGCGUUAUCCGGAAUUAUUGGGCGUAAAGAGCUCGUAGGCGGUUUGUCGCGUCUGCUGUGAAAUCCCGAGGCUCAACCUCGGGCCUGCAGUGGGUACGGGCAGACUAGAGUGCGGUAGGGGAGAUUGGAAUUCCUGGUGUAGCGGUGGAAUGCGCAGAUAUCAGGAGGAACACCGAUGGCGAAGGCAGAUCUCUGGGCCGUAACUGACGCUGAGGAGCGAAAGGGUGGGGAGCAAACAGGCUUAGAUACCCUGGUAGUCCACCCCGUAAACGUUGGGAACUAGUUGUGGGGUCCAUUCCACGGAUUCCGUGACGCAGCUAACGCAUUAAGUUCCCCGCCUGGGGAGUACGGCCGCAAGGCUAAAACUCAAAGGAAUUGACGGGGACCCGCACAAGCGGCGGAGCAUGCGGAUUAAUUCGAUGCAACGCGAAGAACCUUACCAAGGCUUGACAUAUACGAGAACGGGCCAGAAAUGGUCAACUCUUUGGACACUCGUAAACAGGUGGUGCAUGGUUGUCGUCAGCUCGUGUCGUGAGAUGUUGGGUUAAGUCCCGCAACGAGCGCAACCCUCGUUCUAUGUUGCCAGCACGUAAUGGUGGGAACUCAUGGGAUACUGCCGGGGUCAACUCGGAGGAAGGUGGGGAUGACGUCAAAUCAUCAUGCCCCUUAUGUCUUGGGCUUCACGCAUGCUACAAUGGCCGGUACAAUGGGCAGCGAUACCGUGAGGUGGAGC
rnacentral:rRNA from 1 species